rnacentral:rRNA from 1 species
AUUGAACGCUGGCGGCAGGCCUAACACAUGCAAGUCGAGCGGAGCGGCGGACGGGUGAGUAAUGUCUGGGAAACUGCCUGAUGGAGGGGGAUAACUACUGGAAACGGUAGCUAAUACCGCAUACUAUCAGAUGAGCCUAGGUCGGAUUAGCUAGUUGGUGGGGUAAAGGCCUACCAAGGCGACGAUCCGUAACUGGUCUGAGAGGAUGAUCAGUAACACGGGAAAUGAGACACGGUCCGGAUUCCUACGGGAGGAAACAGUGGGGAAUAUGGGAGAAUGGGGGAAAGCCUGAGCCAGCCAUGCCGCGUGUGUGAAAAAGGUCUUCGGAUUUGAAAGCAUUUUAAGUUGGGAGGCGUUACCAACAAAAUAAGCACCGGCUAACUUCGUGCCAGCAGCCGCGGUAAUAC